rnacentral:misc_RNA from 1 species
CUCCAAUCAAGCCUGGCUUGGUGUUGGGCCCCGGGGGUGACCCGGACCCCAAUGUCCGCCGGCCGGACGACCCGGACCUCAGCGUUAUGGCACUUUCUUACGAGUACCGCUGGAGGGGAAGGGGCGACCGCGCCGUCACAAACACACUUCUGAAA